AUUGAACGCUGGCGGCAGGCCUAACACAUGCAAGUCGAACGAGUGGCGGACGGGUGAGUAAUGUCUGGGAAACUGCCCGAUGGAGGGGGAUAACUACUGGAAACGGUAGCUAAUACCGCAUACCAUCGGAUGUGCCCAGAUGGGAUUAGCUAGUAGGUGGGGUAACGGCUCACCUAGGCGACGAACCCUAGCUGGUCUGAGAGGAUGACCAGCCACAUUGGAAGUGAGACACGUCCCAGCGUCCUACGGUAGGCAGCAGUGGGGAAUAUUGCACAAUGGGGGGAAGCCUGAUACAGCCAUGCGGCGUGUGUGAAGAAGGCCUUCGGGUUGUAAAGUACUUUCAGCGAGGAGGCGUUACUCGCAGAAGAAGCACCGGCUAACUCCGUGCCAGCAGCCGCGGUAAUAC
rnacentral:rRNA from 1 species